rnacentral:rRNA from 1 species
GACGAACGCUGGCGGCGUGCCUAAUACAUGCAAGUAGAACGCACAGUUUAUACCGUAGCUUGCUCCACCAUAGACUGUGAGUUGCGAACGGGUUAGUGACGCGUAGGUAACCUGCCUGGUAGCGGGGGCUAACUAUUGGAAACGAUAGCUAAUACCGCAUAAUAUUAAUUAUUGCAUGAUAAUUGAUUGAAAGAUGCAACUGCAUCACUACCAGAUGGACCUGCGUUGUAUUAGCUAGUAGGUGAGUUAACGGCUCACCUAGGCGACGAUACAUAGCCGACCUGAGAGGGUGAUAGGCCACACUGGGACUGAGACACGGCCCAGACGCCUACGGGAGGCAGCAGAAGGGAAUCGUCGGCAAUGGACGAAAGUCUGACAGAGCAACGCCGCGUGAGUGAAGAAGGGUUUCGGAUCGUAAAGCUCUGUUGUAAGAGAAGAACGGGUGUGAGAGUGGAAAGUGCACACUGUGACGGUAUCUGACCAGAAAGGGACGGCUAACUACGUG